AUCGAUUCUUGGUCAUUUAGAGGAAGUAAAAGUCGUAACAAGGUUUCCGUAGGUGAACCUGCGGAAGGAUCAUUUGAUGAGUUGAAACAGGACUUGAUGCUGGCUUACUCCAAAGCAUGUGCUCAGUUCUACUCAAUCCAUUUCACACCUGUGCACUUUCAAAGCUGUAGUCCUCCGUAAUGGGAGUCGUGUCUUGUAAUGAGAUGCUGGGACUGCUCUUUGCCCAUUAUCACAAACAUCAUUAUAGUCUUGUAGAAUGUCAUUAGCCUAAGGGCUUAAUUUAAUACAACUUUCAACAACGGAUCUCUUGGCUCUCGCAUCGAUGAAGAACGCAGCGAAAUGCGAUAAGUAAUGUGAAUUGCAGAAUUCAGUGAAUCAUCGAAUCUUUGAACGCACCUUGCACUCCUUGGUAUUCCGAGGAGUAUGCUUGUUUGAGAGUAAUGUAAUCAUCAUUCCUCCUUUACUUUUGUGAAGUUGGCUUGGAUUUGGGGAUUGCUGGCCUUUCAUUAGGUCCUGGCUUCCCUUGAAUGCAUUAGUCGAAUCAAGUUACAACGUUACGUGUGGUGUGAUAAUAUCUUCACUGCAUAGUUGUAAUGAAGUUUGGCUUCUAACAGUCCUUCACUGGACAAUACUUUGAACAAUGUACCUCAAAUCAAGUAGGACUACCCGCUGAACUUAAGCAUAUCAAUAAGCGGAGGAAAUCACUUC
rnacentral:rRNA from 1 species